rnacentral:rRNA from 1 species
UUGAACGCUGGCGGUAUGCUUAACAGAUGCAAGUCGAACGGAAACGAUACUAGCUUGCUAGUAGGCGUCGAGUGGCGGACGGGUGAGUAACGCGUAGGAAUCUGCCUGAUAGUGGGGGAUAGCCCGAAGAAAUUCGGAUUAAUACCGCAUAAUCUAUUCGUAGUAAAGUGGGGGACUUUCGAGCCUCACGCUAUCAGAUGAGCCUGCGUAAGAUUAGCUUGUUGGUAGGGUAAAAGCCUACCAAGGCGACGAUCUUUAGCUGGUCUGAGAGGAUGAUCAGCCACAUCGGGACUGAGACACGGCCCGAACUCCUACGGGAGGCAGCAGUGGGGAAUAUUGGACAAUGGGGGCAACCCUGAUCCAGCAAUACCGCGUGUGUGAAGAAGGCCUGAGGGUUGUAAAGCACUUUCAAUUGUGAAGAAAAGUUAACGGUUAAUAACCGUUAGCCUUGACGUUAACUUUAGAAGAAGCACCGGCUAACUCCGUGCCAGCAGCCGCGGUAAUACGGAGGGUGCAAGCGUUAAUCGGAAUUACUGGGCGUAAAGCGUGCGUAGGCGGUUUAUUAAGUCAGAUGUGAAAGCCCCGGGCUUAACCUGGGAACUGCAUUUGAAACUGGUCAACUAGAGUAUGGUAGAGGAAAGUGGAAUUUCUGGUGUAGCGGUGAAAUGCGUAGAUAUCAGAAGGAGCAUCAAUGGCGAAAGGCAGCUUUCUGGACCAAUACUGACGCUGAGGUACGAAAGCGUGGGUAGCAAACAGGAUUAGAUACCCUGGUAGUCCACGCCGUAAACGAUGAUAACUAGCCGUUGGGGGGAUUUACCCUUUAGUGGCGAAGCUAACGCGUUAAGUUAUCCGCCUGGGGAGUACGGCCGCAAGGUUAAAACUCAAAGGAAUUGACGGGGACCCGCACAAGCGGUGGAGCAUGUGGUUUAAUUCGAUGCAACGCGAAGAACCUUACCUGGUCUUGACAUCCUGCGAACUUUCUAGAAAUAGAUUGGUGCCUUCGGGAACGCAGUGACAGGUGCUGCAUGGCUGUCGUCAGCUCGUGUCGUGAGAUGUUGGGUUAAGUCCCGUAACGAGCGCAACCCCUAUCCUUAUUUGCCAGCACAUCAUGGUGGGAACUAUAAGGAGACUGCCGGUGAUAAACCGGAGGAAGGCGGGGACGACGUCAAGUCAUCAUGGCCCUUACGACCAGGGCUACACACGUGCUACAAUGGGAAGGACAAAGAGCCGCGAAGCCGCGAGGUGUAGCUAAUCUCAUAAACCUUUUCGUAGUCCGGAUUGGAGUCUGCAACUCGACUCCAUGAAGUCGGAAUCGCUAGUAAUCGUAGAUCAGAAUGCUACGGUGAAUACGUUCCCGGGUCUUGUACACACCGCC